rnacentral:rRNA from 1 species
UACGUAGGGACCAAGCGUUGUUCGGAUUUACUGGGCGUAAAGGGCGCGUAGGCGGCAAUUCAAGUCAUCUGUGAAAUCUCCGGGCUUAACUCGGAACGGUCAGGUGAUACUGCUUUGCUAGAGUGCAGAAGGGGCAAUCGGAAUUCUUGGUGUAGCGGUGAAAUGCGUAGAUAUCUGGAGGAACACCGGUGGCGAAGGCGGCAUCCUGGACCAUUACUGACGCUGAGGAGCGAAAGCCAGGGGAGCAAACGGG